UCUUCGGUAGUAUAGUGGUCAGUAUCCCCGCCU
rnacentral:sRNA from 1 species